UCUAAAGCCCAUUGCGAGUCGAAUGUAGCAAUACAUGGCGAACUGCUCAGUAACACGUGGACAACCUGCCCUUAGGUUGGGUAUAAACCCGGGAAACUGGGUAUAAUACCCGAUAGGUCUCGAUUGCUGGAAUGCAUCGAGAUUUAAAGCUCCGGCGCCUAAGGAUGGGUCUGCGGCCUAUCAGGUAGUAGUGGGUGUAGCGUACCUACUAGCCUACGACGGGUACGGGUUGUGAGAGCGAGAGCCCGGAGAUGGAUUCUGAGACACGAAUCCAGGCCCUACGGGGUGCAGCAGGCGCGAAAACUUUACAAUGCUGGCAACAGCGAUAAGGGAACCUCGAGUGCCAGGUUACAAAUCUGGCUGUCGAGAUGCCUAAAAAGCAUUUCAUAGCAAGGGCCGGGCAAGACCGGUGCCAGCCGCCGCGGUAACACCGGCGGCUCGAGUGGUAACCGUUAUUAUUGGGUCUAAAGGGUCUGUAGCCGGCCGGAUAAGUCUCUUGAGAAAUCUGGCAGCUUAACUGUCAGGCUUUCAGGAGAUACUGUCUGGCUCGAGGCCGGGAGAGGUGAGAGGUACUUCAGGGGUAGGGGUGAAAUCUUGUAAUCCUUGAAGGACCACCAGUGGCGAAGGCGUCUCACCAGAACGGACCUGACGGCAAGGGACGAAAGCUAGGGGCACGAACCGGAUUAGAUACCCGGGUAGUCCUAGCCGUAAACGAUACUCGCUAGGUGUCGGCCACGGUGCGACCGUUGUCGGUGCCGUAGGGAAGCCGUGAAGCGAGCCCCCUGGGAAGUACGGCCGCAAGGCUGAAACUUAAAGGAAUUGGCGGGGGAGCACCACAACGGGUGGAGCUUGCGGUUUAAUUGGAUUCAACGCCGGAAAUCUUACCGGGACCGACAGCAAUAUGAAGGCCAGGCUGAAGACUUUGCCGGAUUAGCUGAGAGGUGGUGCAUGGCCGUCGUCAGUCGUACUGAGAU
rnacentral:rRNA from 1 species